rnacentral:rRNA from 1 species
CCUACGGGAGGCAGCAGUGAGGAAUUUUCCGCAAUGGGCGAAAGCCUGACGGAGCAAUACCGCGUGAGGGAUGAAGGAUUUUGGUCUGUAAACCUCUUUUCUCAAGAAAGAAGUUCUGACGGUACUUGAGGAAUAAGCAUCGGCUAACUCCGUGCCAGCAGCCGCGGUAAUACGGGGGAUGCAAGCGUUAUCCGGAAUGAUUGGGCGUAAAGCGCCUGUAGGUUGUUUAUUAAGUCCGUUGUUAAAGCCUAGGGCUCAACCCUAGAAAAGCAAUGGAAACUAGUAGACUAGAGUAUGGCAGGGGUAGAGGGAAUUUCUAGUGUAGCGGUGAAAUGCGUAGAUAUUAGAAAGAACACCGGUGGCGAAAGCGCUCUACUGGACCAUUACUGACACUCAGAGGCGAAAGCUAGGGUAGCAAAAGGGAUUAGAUACCCCUGUAGUCCUAGCCGUAAACGAUGGAUACUAGAUGUUGUGCAUUAUGUACAGUAUCGUAGCUAACGCGUUAAGUAUCCCGCCUGGGGAGUACGCUCGCAAGGGUGAAACUCAAAUGAAAUUGACGGCNGAAGAGUGCGAAGACGACGACGAGGGAGGAGG